AAGCUUGCUUCUCUUGAGAGCGGCGGACGGGUGAGUAAUGCCUAGGAAUCUGCCUGGUAGUGGGGGAUAACGUUCGGAAACGGACGCUAAUACCGCAUACGUCCUACGGGAGAAAGCAGGGGACCUUCGGGCCUUGCGCUAUCAGAUGAGCCUAGGUCGGAUUAGCUAGUUGGUGGGGUAAUGGCUCACCAAGGCGACGAUCCGUAACUGGUCUGAGAGGAUGAUCAGUCACACUGGAACUGAGACACGGUCCAGACUCCUACGGGAGGCAGCAGUGGGGAAUAUUGGACAAUGGGCGAAAGCCUGAUCCAGCCAUGCCGCGUGUGUGAAGAAGGUCUUCGGAUUGUAAAGCACUUUAAGUUGGGAGGAAGGGUUGUAGAUUAAUACUCUGCAAUUUUGACGUUACCGACAGAAUAAGCACCGGCUAACUCUGUGCCAGCAGCCGCGGUAAUACAGAGGGUGCAAGCGUUAAUCGGAAUUACUGGGCGUAAAGCGCGCGUAGGUGGUUAGUUAAGUUGGAUGUGAAAUC
rnacentral:rRNA from 1 species